AUUCGAAAUGGUGUCUCCCCCUCCUUCUUACAGAGCAUCCUACGGACUCGCACUCGAUUUAUUGGUAAAAUGUGAGGAUUUUGCCAGUCUGUACCUAAGCCACUUCUGGUUCAGUAUCUUCAUUCUUCUCUGAACUAUAGUGGAAGUGUAUGCCGCAGCAUCCCCGAUGGAAAAUACUUCUCUUAUUAUUGUACUAGGGGCAGUUUCUAGUGCAAUAUAUGUCUGAGUUGGAGGCCCUUAAAGCUUUUUAUCCGCUUUUUGAAUCCGGGACCAAUUGAAUCAAUUUAUUAACAUUUAUUCUAAUAAAAUUAAAUUAUUUGACUUUAACUUUUGAAAAUAAUAAAAUAGUUGUAUGGUAUCAACAUUUAAUUGGAACAUUUUCUUGAUAUCUUUUUUAAUAUGCAAAUAAAAAAAUAUACUUCUUUUCAUCAUUA
rnacentral:lncRNA from 1 species